rnacentral:rRNA from 1 species
GUCUACAGCAAUGCUACCUGUAGAUCAGAUCCCCUCUGAUCUUGGAAGCUAAGCAGGGUGGGGCCUGGUUAGUACUUGGAUGGGAGACCACCUAGGAAGACCAGGUGCUGUAGGUG